AGUGAACGCUGGCGGUAGGCCUAACACAUGCAAGUCGAACGGCAGCACAGUAAGAGCUUGCUCUUACGGGUGGCGAGUGGCGGACGGGUGAGGAAUACAUCGGAAUCUACUUUUUCGUGGGGGAUAACGUAGGGAAACUUACGCUAAUACCGCAUACGACCUACGGGUGAAAGCAGGGGAUCUUCGGACCUUGCGCGAUUGAAUGAGCCGAUGUCGGAUUAGCUAGUUGGCGGGGUAAAGGCCCACCAAGGCGACGAUCCGUAGCUGGUCUGAGAGGAUGAAGAGGCCCACUGGGACUGAGCCACCGUCCAGGCUCCUACGGGAGGCAGCAAGGGGGAAUGUUGGAAAAAGGGGGGAAGCCUGAACCAGGCAUGCCGGGUGGGUGAAGAAAGGCCUCGGGGUGUAAAACCCCUUUGGUGGGGAAAAAAAGCAGCAGGUUAAUCGCCCCCUGUUCUGACGGUACCCAAAGAAUAAGCACCGGCUAACUUCGUG
rnacentral:rRNA from 1 species